rnacentral:rRNA from 1 species
AGAGUUUGAUCCUGGCUCAGGACGAACGCUGGCGGCGUGCCUAACACAUGCAAGUCGAGCGGGGAACGGAUGGUAGCUUGCUACUGUUUGUUUCUAGCGGCGGACGGGUGAGUAACGCGUGAGCAACCUGCCUUUAUCAGGGGGAUAACGCAUCGAAAGAUGUGCUAAUACCGCGUAAGACCACAGCUUCACAUGGAGCGGGGGUCAAAGGAGCAAUCCGGAUAAAGAUGGGCUCGCGUCCGAUUAGCUAGUUGGUGAGAUAACAGCCCACCAAGGCGACGAUCGGUAGCCGACCUGAGAGGGUGAUCGGCCACAUUGGAACUGAGAGACGGUCCAGACUCCUACGGGAGGCAGCAGUGGGGAAUAUUGGGCAAUGGGCGAAAGCCUGACCCAGCAACGCCGCGUGAGGGAAGAAGGGUUUCGGCUCGUAAACCUCUGUCCUAUGGGACGAAGGAAGUGACGGUACCAUAGGAGGAAGCCCCGGCUAACUACGUGCCAGCAGCCGCGGUAAUACGUAGGGGGCGAGCGUUGUCCGGAAUGAUUGGGCGUAAAGGGCGCGUAGGCGGCCUGCUAAGUCUGGAGUGAAAGUCCUGCUUUCAAGGUGGGAAUUGCUUUGGAUACUGGUGGGCUGGAGUGCAGGAGAGGAAAGCGGAAUUACCGGUGUAGCGGUGAAAUGCGUAGAGAUCGGUAGGAACACCAGUGGCGAAGGCGGCUUUCUGGACUGAAACUGACGCUGAGGCGCGAAAGCGUGGGGAGCAAACAGGAUUAGAUACCCUGGUAGUCCACGCGGUAAACGAUGAAUGCUAGGUGUAGGAGGUAUCGACCCCUUCUGUGCCGCAGUAAACACAAUAAGCAUUCCGCCUGGGGAGUACGGCCGCAAGGUUGAAACUCAAAGGAAUUGACGGGGGCCCGCACAAGCAGCGGAGCAUGUGGUUUAAUUCGAAGCAACGCGAAGAACCUUACCAGGUCUUGACAUCCGUGUAAAGCCGCAGAGAUGCGGUGUGAGCUUGCUCAAUACGAGACAGGUGGUGCAUGGUUGUCGUCAGCUCGUGUCGUGAGAUGUUGGGUUAAGUCCCGCAACGAGCGCAACCCUU